rnacentral:lncRNA from 1 species
AUUGCUCUCUCCAGGAAUGCCGUCCCUUAGCGACACAGCGCUGUGCUGCACCGCGCUUCCUGCGGGACCGCUGCUGGCAGGCACAGCGGGCGUUCGGGUUUGCUCAAGCAGAGGCUGAUGUUCCUCUUUCCCUCCGUGAGGAAGGUGCGUUACGCCAAGGGAAGCCCUGGGACCUGUAGGCUGAGAAAGGGACGGGGUGUGCUGUGAGUCCUGCUGACAAACGACAGGCACGGAGCAGCUGUUGGGAUUUAUUUUGCUCUGAUUUUGCACAAACUUCCCGUGGAGGUCCAAACGCAGGUUUCUGCCGUUGUUGCUCUUCCAACUCAGAGCUGCUAGGAUAUUUAACGGCGCGUGCGUUGGCGGAAGCGCUGUGCAAAGGGCUGCGCUCAGCGAGCUGCUCUGUGCUGCACGGUGCUUCUGGAGAGCGCAGAUGUAGAUGUCAUUUUCUGCCUUGUGUUUUUCAUACAUUCUUUUUCUGGCUCCCAGCAUCCUUGUGUGGAGUGACCUGUAAUUGCUAGGGGUUGUGGUGUCCGGAUGGAUUUGAAUACGAAGCACUGAAGCACUCUUUUUAAAGCAAUUAGAGGAGAUUCAGUCAAGGAAAAUUAUUUGUGUCAUCAGAAUAGGAAAUGCAGGCUGGUUAAUUUUAAUGACUUGGUGAAUUUACAAGAUCUGAAGCCGGGCAGGUACAGGGAUGCCUUAAUAGCACGUUCGGGCAGAGGCUGGCGUUCUGCAUCAGAAAUGGGAACGUUGGGGUUUCUUGCAGUCUUUUUUCCUUCUGAAUAAAGAUGGAGAUUGAGAACCAGGUAAGGGAACACAUGGUUUUACCAGAAAUUAUUUCCUAGGCCGAUCAAUUACUAGGAGAUGUAAUGAGAAAUGCACUCCUCGGGGAGAGGAGGAAGGAAUUGCCAUUACAUAAUAUCCCUUGGGAGAGUUUCUGCGUCGCGUAAUGAGGCCGCUGAUGGAGCAUUUGGGGAAAUGCCUAUGGAUAAGAAUUUGUUCUUCAGAUUUCCAUAAGCAAAACAUAUUACUGAAAAAUAGGCUUGUGAAGAGUAGCACUGCUAGGUAGGAGGUGGUGCUUCGCCUCUGCACGCACUUCUUUUGUUCCCAUAAUUGCUGUGUAAGAGAUUAAGUAACGGUGCGAUUAAAACUUCCACAAAACAGGAGAUGCAAGUCAAUAGUUUCCUUACCUAUGGAGCGCCGGGGGUACAGCGUUAUGGGCUGUGUUCUGUUCCAGGCUUCAUUACGUUACUUGUGUUUAUCUUCUGAAGAUCCUAACGAACAGAAAAUCCCUGGCUGUGGCUGCGUACACAGCGAUCUGUUGGCGAAACAGCAGCAGUGUGAUGCGAUGCUGUGGGCUCUGUAAGCUGCAGGGCUGCAUGGGGCGCUGGGCCCUCGCUGCCGGGCUGACUUCCAGCAGUGGAGGUGCUUGGCACAGUGCUGCAGCAGAUCCUUGCACUUCCAGUAGCAGUUGCCUUCGAGAAGAAAGUAAUUUCCACGCACUCGCCCUUCCCACUGGAGCACUUGUGUGCUCGGAAUAUGGAGGGGUUACCUCCAGGAGCUGGCUGGGAGCUGGCUGCCCUGCAUGGCCAGAGGUGUGAAAGCAGCGGAGGGAGAAGGCGAGAAAUCUUCACACCUCUGUCACAGCUGAGGAGCGGCCUAAUUGGAGCCGCUCAUUUAAAAUCCAUGCAUCCGAUGGUGCGUCCUGCUCCUCUCCCCAGGGCCACUGAUGUGCCCAGCACGGUGACCUGCAGCCCUGGAGCUGCGGAGGCUGCAGGCGUGAGCAGCUCUGCACGGCUGCAGCUAUUUCUGGGGAGUUAAGGGCGCAGUGACUGUUGUGAAGCCC